UGAAUCAGACAUGGAUCCUGCCCU
rnacentral:piRNA from 1 species